AUCUCAAAAUAAGAUAAGAUCGAUUGAGAAUUCUGCAUUUUCAGGCUUAUCAAAUCUUGUUUCACUGAGUCUAGACAGCAACAAAAAACUUACUAAAAUCGAGGUGGUUAGUCCAUCAUUACCUAACGAGCUGUAUGGCGGAAAACUUGCCAAACUUACCUAUUUGAACCUUGCUCACAACAGUAUAAGAAGUGUUGAUGACGAGGUAUUUACUGGUUUAACCAGUUUAUUAACAUUGGAGUUACAGGAGAACCAGCUUACUACAGUGAACCGUCAGUACUUUGUUGGGCUUAAGAUGCUUUCGUACCUCUUUGUAUUACUUCAAGUAUAGCUUGUAAUGAUCCACAGGAAUCUCAACGGUAAUGCUAUCACUUUAUUGGAAAAGGAACAUUUGAUAUUAUGACCGAGUUAAAAAAAUUAGAUUUGAGUAAAAAUCCUCUCCACGUUGGAUAUGAGUUGGUUUGGGCCACUUAACAAGCUUGAAUUUCUACGCCUCUAUUAUAAUAGGAUCCGUGAUAUUCCACCCAACUUUUUUUCCAAACUAAAAGACUUGACUUUCUUCAUUUUAUAGAGAUUUGAGUGAUAAUCCUUUAACCUCCCUCAAUAAGAAUUUGUUCAAGGGUCUUAAGGACCUUAAGCACUUUCGCCUUGAUUAUAAUAGCAUUCGUGAUAUUCCAUCCACUUUUUUUUCCGAACUAAAUGCCUUGACUUUCUGAAAAAUUAAUAAUGGAGGUGUUGAUAACUCUAUAACCGACAUUGAAACCAAUGCUUUUCCUGCUUCUAUAAGUCCAGACUUCAUAAAAUUACAACUUGGAAAAUCCUUCAGUUGUGAAGCACGUUUGCUGGAUAAAGAUCUUUUUAACGUUUACUGACGAUUUUUGCACGCUUCGGUCGGGGAUUGCACAGAGUUUUAAAACUUUUUUAAAAGGCAAGUUAGGAGGGGAUGAAGGUUCAAAUGCUGGCAAUGCAAAGUCGAUCUGCGUAAAAGUUGGUGUCCUCGCGCACUGUCUUUGCUCUCUU